AAUGAACGCUGGCGGCAGGCCUAACACAUGCAAGUCGAACGGAAACACGAUGAGCUUUUCCCUUUGCCGGUAGCGGGGGGCGGGUGGGUGAAACGUGCAUAACAAUCCUAUAUGACGGGGGUGACCUCGUGGAAACGGUGCCAAUAACGGCUAAUAUAUCCAACCGCAUGGAGCAGUAGUGCAAGGCGGCUUGCCUGUCACUUUGAGCUGAUGCCGCGCCAGAUUAGCUUGGUGGUAGGGUAACGGCGUAGCAAGGCAACGAUGCCUAGCCGAGCUGAGAGGGGGAUCCGCCCCACUUGAACUUAGACACCGUCCAGACUCCUUCGGGAGGCAUGCGGUGGGAAUCUUUCGCAAUGGGCGGAAACCUGACGCAACCAAGCCGCGUGGGUGAAGGAGGUCUUCGGGUUGUAAAACCCUUUUAGUAGGGAAGAAAAAACGUAAGAUUAACUCUCCGCUGCUUGACGGUACCCCAACAAAAAGCCACGGCUAACUACGUG
rnacentral:rRNA from 1 species